CCCGUUGCAGAGCACAGGCUCCGGACGCGCAGGCUCAGCAGCCAUGGCUCACAGCCCCAGCCGCUCCGCGGCAUGUGGGAUCUUCCCGGACCGGGGCACGAACCCGCGUCCCCUGCAUCGGCAGGCGGACUCUCAGCCACUGUGCCACCAGGGAAGCCCCAAUGAAAAUUUUUUUAAAAAUGAAGGAGAAAUCGUUUUUCUUAACCAAACAAAAACUAGGCAUUCAUUGACAGCAGACUUACUGUAUAAGAAAUGUUAAAGCAAGUUCUUCAAGCAGGAGGAAUAUGAUCUACACAAACUUAGAUCUACAUAAAGACCACUGGACAUGGAAAAAAAAGUUAUUACUUAUUUUUAAUUUAUUUGAGAUAAAGGUCAGCAAACUUUUUAUAUAAAGGGCUAGACAAUAUUUUAGGUUUUAAGAGCCAUACACUCUAUUGCGUCUACUCAGCUCUGCCAUUGUAGUAUGAAAUAUAUAAGUGAAUGAAUGUGGCUGUGUUCUAGUAAAACAAUUUCUAAAAACAGGCAGAGGGUUAGAGUUGGCCCAUGGGCUAUCGUUGGCUCAUCCCUGCUCUAACAGAUAACUGACUAAGACAAAAGUAGUAUUAUAUGUUUAUAGCAUUUAUAACAGAUAUGACAACAAUAGCAUAAAAGAUGGAAGAAAGGAAUUGGAAAUAUUUCUGUAAGUCCUUGUACUACACAUGAAAUGGUAUAAUAUCUGAAGGUGCCCUCAGAUUAAUUAAAAAUGUAUAUUGGACAACCACUAAAAAUUUUGAAAUAAGGGCAUAAAUAAUAAAUCUAUGGAAGCAAUGCAAUGGACUUGUAAACAAUCCUCAGCAUAAGAGAAGUUAGAGAAAGAGGAAUAAAGAAACAAAGAAUAGAUGGAACAAAUAGAAAAUAGUAAGAUGAUUUUAAUCUAGUCAUAUCAGUAAUCACGUUAAACGUGGAUAGUCUAAACCAGGGAAUGGCAAAGUACUUCCAACCACAGUUUCAUUUCUUUGUACAUGUGUGCCAUGAUAAAGGAAGUUCCUGGACCUAUUGGGCAUCUAGAAUUUAGAUACUCAUUUACUUGCAUAAGGAAGAAUUCAGAUACUGUCCUGUGAUACCCACCUGUUUAAUGGUAAUUUACUUCAAGGAGUAAUUUUCAUUUUAGGGAAUAAAAAUUGACUUGGGUAUGACUAGAGAUAAAAGGGUACAUUGUAUUCCAGACUUUAGAAACACCAAUCUGAAAUAAAGGAAAAAAAGCAUUACAGUAAAUACACAUUAAAGCUGUUCUGUCUUAUCAGUUACCUAAAUGACAUUGGAUUAGGAGUUAGUUUUUAAUGUAGGAAGUUUUCAAAAUUCAUUUGUGAACUAUAAUCUGUUAUUAGGUACACAUCCAUUUCUAGGGCUAGCUAUACUUUUCCCUUUGGAAUAUCGCUGACUAUAUAUACUACAGUAAGAAUGCUUACACAUUACUUGUUGAUAAAUACUAAUGUGUUGUAGGUUAAAAUCUGUGCUUAAGGGCUUCCCUGGUGGCGCAGUGGUUGAGUCUGCCUGCCAAUGCAGGGGACACGGGUUCGUGCCCCGGUCCGGGAAGAUCCCACAUGCCGUGGAGCGGCUGGGCCCGUGAGCCAUGGCCGCUGAGCCUGCACGUCCAGAGCCUGUGCUCCACAACGGGAGAGGCCACAACAGUGAGAGGACCGCGUACCGCAAAAAAAAAAAAAAAAAAAAAUCUGUGCUUAAUAUUUUGUUGGUAACUUUCAUGUAACUAACUUGAAGCAAUACUGCUUGCCUUUGAAAAUAAUCCAAUGUUUGGAAAGAUAUUUGUGGUUUUAAAUUCCAGCUUUGUUACUUACUAACUAGUUUUGUACAAGCAGUAACAGUUAGGCUGUUUGAGUAAAGUGGAGAUUAUUAUCAUACCUCGUUUACAUAGUGAGGUUUAAAUGAGAUAUAAUGUAUGUAAAACACUAAAUACUGAGAAAUAUUAAAUUUAAAUCUCAAAUUAAUUGUUUUCAAUAUGUAAUUAUAUAUGUGGCUUAAAAGUAAAAUGAUAUCUAAAGAUAAACACUGAAAAGUCUUCUUCACCUUGUCUCUAUCUACCAUGCCCCCUCCAACUCUAGUAUUUAAUUAAUUAAUUAAUUUAUGGCUGUGUUGGGUCUUUGUUGCUGCAUGGGGGCUUUCUUUAGUUGCAUCGAGUGGGGGCUACUCUUUGUUGCGGUGUGCAGGCUUCUCAUUGCAGUGGCUUCUCUUGUUCCCGAGCAUGGUCUCUAGGCACACGGGCUUCUGUAGUUAUGGCACACUGGCUCAGUAGCUGUGGCACGCGGCCUCUGGUGCGCAGGCUCAGUAGUUGUGGCGCACGGGCUUAGUUGCUCUGCGGCAUGUGGGAUCUUCCCAGACCAGGGCUCGAACCCGUGUCCCCUGCAUUGGCAGGCAGAUUCUUAACCACUGCGCCACCAGGGAAGUCCCUAGUAUUUAUUUUUACUAGUUUCUUGCUUAUUCUUCGAUAGUUUCUUUAUACAGUUACAAGCAAAUACAGUUAAAUAUUUUUUCUUUCCCUUUCCUAAACAAAAUGCCUGCCAUAUAAACUGUGAUGCACUUUGCUUUUGAUAUUUAAAAUGUCCUGGAGAGCUCUCCAUAUCAGUGCACAGAGAUUGUUUUCAUUUUUCUUCACAGAUACAUUGUAUUUCAUUGUGUGGCUGGGUCAUCAUUUAUUCAGGAGGUUCAGUAUUGCUGGAUACUUGGCUUAUUUCUAGUUUUUUGCUGUGAUUAUGUUAUAAUGCCACAAUGAGUAAUCUAGUACUUAUGUUAUUUCAUAAAUGUGUAAGUUUAUGAGAGAGAUUCCCAGAAAUGGAAUUGUUGAGUUAAAGGGAAAAUGCAUUGGUAAUUAUGGCAGAUACUGCCAGAUUUCCUUCAUAGGGGUUGUGCAGUUUUUGUACUGCUUCCAGCAAUGUAUGAGAAUACUUGUUUCUCUAUAACCUUGCUAGCAGAAUGUGUGUUAAACUUACAGAUUUUUUGCAGGUCGUUAGGAGAGAAUUGGUAUGUGGGUGUAGUUUUAAUUUGCUGUUCUCAUUAUAAGUGAAGUUGAACAUCUCUUCGAAUGUUUAAUAGCUGUUCGUGUUUUUCUUCAGAUUGCCUGUUUAUGUUGCUUGCCCAUUUUCCUAUUGGGUUGUCCUUCCUUCCUUCCUUCCUUCCUUCCUUCCUUCCUUCCUUCCUUCCUCCCUUCCUCCCUUCCUCCCUUCCUCCCUUCCUCCCUCCCUCCCUCCCUUCCUACCUCCCUUCUUUCCUUCUUUCUUUCUUUCUUUCUUUUCCGUAAUAACUAAGAAUUCUUUUAUGUUGGGAAUAUUAGAUCUAUGAGUUGCAGAUAUUUUUUCCCAAUUAGUCAUUUGUCUUUUUCUUUAUGGUCCGUUUUGCUAUACAAAUAUGUUUUGGUAGUUGAGCUCAGUUGUUAUCAAAGAGGCCUUCUCCAGGGAAUUCCCUGGCAGUCCAGUGGUUAGGACUCUGUGCUUCCACUACAGGGGGCAUGGGUUUGAUCCCUGGUUGGGGAACAAAGAUUCUGCAAGCCAUCUGGCUCGGCCAAAAAAAAAAAACAGGCCUUCCCCAACUCAGGGCUAUAAAGUAAUUCAUCAUAUUUUCUUUCAGUAUGUUUAUGGUUUCAUCUUUUACUUGUAAAUCUCUAAUCCAUUUAGAGUUUAUCUUUGUGUACACUGCAACACAUCGAUUCUACUAUGUGUAUAUAUUUUUUAAGUAUUCCUUUCAUAAUGUUGUCAAAUAAUAUUUAUUAAAGUCUAUUCUUUACUGACUUGACACCUUUGGCAUAUGCUAGAUUCCUGUAAGUACUUGGGUCUAUUUCAAAUCUUUCUCUGUUUCAUCAGUGUGUCAGUUUAUUCAUUUCCUAAUGUGACACUUUUUAAAAAAUCAUCAAGACUUUGUACAUAUUGUAGUAUCUGGUAGGGCUGUUCCCUUCAUUUUCAUAGUGUUCCUGGCUAGUUUUGCUUAUUUAUUUUUCUGUAUAAACUUAAUAAUCAUCUUUCUUCAUCACAGAAAAGAAAUCUUGUUGGCAUUAUUAUUAUGAUGACAUUCAAUAAACUUAAUAAUCAGCUUUCCUCAUCUCUGAAAAAGAAAUCUCGUUGGCAUUAUUAUGAUGACAUUAAAUUUAUGUUAAUUUUAAAAGAAUUUAUAAUCUUUUCGUUCAGAAACAUGGCGUGUUCUUUUACUUGUUCAUGUCUACUUUUGAAGUGUUUGGAAAGGUCCUCUUUGUGUUGGUUUUGUACAUUUAUUGUACAAUUAAUUUCUGGGUUUUUUAUCUUUUUUGUUGCUUUUGGUAUUAUAAAUGUGGUCUUCUCUUUCGUUAUGUUUUCUGUUGUUGUUUGUAUAUUAAGAAUACUUUUAAAAAUCAACCUGUUCACGUGAUUCUUUGUUAGGUACUGUAGGAAGGUCUUAAAAAUGGAUAAAAUAUAGAUUAAGGGAAAUUGGAUAUAGCACAUUAAUUCAGUGGAAUACUGUGCAGUUUAUAUUAAAGUGGACAGGUGCCUGUGACUCAUGAAAUGAGAAAGUAGGUAUUCUGGUUUUGUUUAAGUCCUAUGGAAAAAAAGUCUCAAAAAUGUAUUCAAAUGUUAACAAUGGUUUUUUGGGGAUUGCUAGAUAAUUUCUUCUUUUUGCAUAACUUUUCUGGUGGCAGUUACUAGUCCACAAAAAUCCAUGUUUUCCUUCCUUGUACAUGUCUGUUCAUCUUUACUACAUUUCCAAAUCCACCAUGAGAAUGGACAUGUGUCUGCAGUUUUAGCAGUGGAUUGUGAAAAGAAGUGAUAGGUGAUACUUGUCCUAGAUUUUAAGGCAUUGACUAUGCCUCCUAUAGUAGUUGCUUUUCUCCUUUUAUGCUGAUUUAAUUGGAAGCGCUUAGACCAUGCAGAUGAUGGUGGUGCCUUAGAGGAUGGUUGAGUCAUGUCUUGGAAGGAACCUGGAUCCAUGAAUGACUGCAAGGAGCAGAGCUGCCUCGCUAAGCUGGACCAUUUGUUUCAAGAUUGAAAUUAAAGAGAAAUAAACUUUUUGCUUGUUAA